UACAGAGGGUGCGAGCGUUAAUCGGAAUUACUGGGCGUAAAGCGCGCGUAGACGGUUUUGUAAGUCAGAUGUGAAAUCCCUGGGCUCAACCUGGGAACUGCAUUUGAGACUGCAUGGCUAGAGUAUCGAAGAGGGAAGUGGAAUUUCCGGUGUAGCGGUGAAAUGCGUAGAUAUCGGAAGGAACACCAGUGGCGAAAGCGGCUCACUGGUCCGGUACUGACGCUGAGGUGCGAAAGCGUGGGGAGCAAACAGG
rnacentral:rRNA from 1 species